UCUGACUUCUGGAGAGCUCCGCCCCCUCUCCUGUCAUUCCUGGAGUGCGCACAGCUGCCUGCACUUUAGUUAAGUUGUUUAUUCUAUUUAAGCACACCUGCUUCUGCACUCUGUGUUGCAGUGUAAAUCUCUGUUGGUACCCAUGUUCUUGGCUCGGCUAAAACAUGUCUUCUUAUGUUUGGAGUGGAACCUUUGUCUAAAUUAAAUCAUUCUCCUCACUCCACUUGCUUCUUCGUUCCUGGAUCUGGCCAUGCACAUUGAUCGGAGGAUGAGAGAACAGGGUCAAGAGCAAUGGAGGAACACAAGCCUUUGUCCGCUGUUUCCUGUGGGUGCUCCACCACUCCGUUCCAGCACCUGUACUCCCCGUCAAGAUUCCAAUCCUUCCCUUGUAAAGUCAUGCUGCAGUCCAUGCAGCUGGGAUCAGGACGUCUAACCCCUGCAGAGCGAUGGAGACGCAUGAGAGAUUGGACCCAGAUGUUGGCACCCUCCUCAUAAGCCUCCCUGCUCCAUAUAAGAUGGUCCUUCACCAGCAUUCAUCACCAGUUCGUUGCCCUCUACGGAUCUGUCCCUGCCAACCUGGGUCCACCCUUCCAACAUCUGUCCGGUAAUGCGUGAAUUCCUGCCCUCCAGUCAAGCCACAACUCCACGACUCAGCCUCAAGCCAAGACUCCUCGCUUCGUCUCCAUACUCUGAGACAGUACUCACCGAUUGGUCCACAUUCCAUCUCCUUUGCCUCAGCCGCCGCAUCACAAGUUACUCCAAUACUCCUGGAGAAUAAAUCCUUUAAUUCUCACUAAAAGACGUGCGUGAUCUUUCCGGGUUCCAGCACCUGGGUCUGUUUGUCGCUCCCCCUAUUGUGACGGAAGGAACUGGCCAUUCAUAAGACCCAGCUGACCCAAAAUGUUUACGUUUCACGGUGACCGAGCAGGGCAUUCUCUUGGAUCGUCAGGUCGACACCUUUGCUCAAAUGGCUGCUGCCCAACGGGACAUUUCCCACAGAGUUGACGGGAUCACUCAAGCCAUAAUAGAAUUAACCAGCCUAGCGUCUACAAGGAAAUCUCAGCCUACAGCUCCACUUCCGCCCAGAGAAGACAAUGGCGAUCCCAACUUCCGCCUCGUCACAGGAAAACUUCCGCCUGCAGCCGGAACCCUUCUUCGGUGACGUCGAUGCUUGUGGAGGUUUCCUCUGGCAAUGUCAUCUAAUCCUUCAACAAGCACCAAGGUAUUAUCAGACUAAUCACAGUAAAAUUACCCUGGUUGUUUAUUC